UGCAAGUCGAACGAUGAAGCCCAGCUUGCUGGGUGGAAGAGUGGCGAACGGGUGAGUAACACGUGAGUAACCUGCCCCGAACUCUGGGAUAAGCGCUGGAAACGGCGUCUAAUACUGGAUAUGUCCCAUCACCGCAUGGUGUGUGGGUGGAAAGAUUUAUCGGUUCGGGAUGGACUCGCGGCCUAUCAGCUUGUUGGUGAGGUAAUGGCUCACCAAGGCGACGACGGGUAGCCGGCCUGAGAGGGUGACCGGCCACACUGGGACUGAGACACGGCCCAGACUCCUACGGGAGGCAGCAGUGGGGAAUAUUGCACAAUGGGCGCAAGCCUGAUGCAGCAACGCCGCGUGAGGGAUGACGGCCUUCGGGUUGUAAACCUCUUUUAGUAGGGAAGAAGCGAAAGUGACGGUACCUGCAGAAAAAGCACCGGCUAACUACGUGCCAGCAGCCGCGGUAAUACGUAGGGUGCAAGCGUUGUCCGGAAUUAUUGGGCGUAAAGAGCUCGUAGGCGGCUUGUCGCGUCUGCUGUGAAAACCCGAGGCUCAACCUCGGGCCUGCAGUGGGUACGGGCAGGCUAGAGUGCGGUAGGGGAGAUUGGAAUUCCUGGUGUAGCGGUGGAAUGCGCAGAUAUCAGGAGGAACACCGAUGGCGAAGGCAGAUCUCUGGGCCGUAACUGACGCUGAGGAGCGAAAGCAUGGGGAGCGAACAGGAUUAGAUACCCUGGUAGUCCAUGCCGUAAACGUUGGGAACUAGAUGUAGGGACUGUUCCACGGUUUCUGUGUCGUAGCUAACGCAUUAAGUUCCCCGCCUGGGGAGUACGGCCGCAAGGCUAAAACUCAAAGGAAUUGACGGGGGCCCGCACAAGCGGCGGAGCAUGCGGAUUAAUUCGAUGCAACGCGAAGAACCUUACCAAGGCUUGACAUAUACGAGAACGGGCCAGAAAUGGUCAACUCUUUGGACACUCGUAUACAGGUGGUGCAUGGUGUCGUCAGCUC
rnacentral:rRNA from 1 species